rnacentral:tmRNA from 1 species
GGGGGCGACCAGGUAUCGACCGGGCAGUAUGAGUCAAGGGUCGCGUGCCGAGGUUGUCAGGGUGCCUCGUAAAACACCUGGCAAACCAACAACUGCCAAUCACCAGAUGGCAAUGGCUGCCUGAUCAGGCGGUCACGUCCCGCAGUCUCUGCCCGCGGGGGCUGCGGGGCGACAAACAGCGGGCUAGUCCUUGCCCUUUGCUCGACGGGGCCGGGGCGAAACCUCUGUUCGAGCUGGCCGAAGCGGAAUCCCGUCUACCGGAGGCCGCCGAGGCGACACUCAAUAGGUAGCCUACGCACGUAGAAGCUCUUGGCGCGCUGCUUCGGGACGGGGGUUCGAUUCCCCCCGCCUCCACCA